rnacentral:rRNA from 1 species
GACGAACGCUGGCGGCGUGCUUAACACAUGCAAGUCGAACGGAAAGGCCCUGCUUUUGUGGGGUGCUCGAGUGGCGAACGGGUGAGUAACACGUGAGUAACCUGCCCUUGACUUUGGGAUAACUUCAGGAAACUGGGGCUAAUACCGGAUAGGAGCUCCUGCUGCAUGGUGGGGGUUGGAAAGUUUCGGCGGUUGGGGAUGGACUCGCGGCUUAUCAGCUUGUUGGUGGGGUAGUGGCUUACCAAGGCUUUGACGGGUAGCCGGCCUGAGAGGGUGACCGGCCACAUUGGGACUGAGAUACGGCCCAGACUCCUACGGGAGGCAGCAGUGGGGAAUAUUGCACAAUGGGCGGAAGCCUGAUGCUGCAACGCCGCGUGCGGGAUGACGGCCUUCGGGUUGUAAACCGCUUUCGCCUGUGACGAAGCGUGAGUGACGGUAAUGGGUAAAGAAGCACCGGCUAACUACGUGCCAGCAGCCGCGGUGAUACGUAGGGUGCGAGCGUUGUCCGGAUUUAUUGGGCGUAAAGGGCUCGUAGGUGGUUGAUCGCGUCGGAAGUGUAAUCUUGGGGCUUAACCCUGAGCGUGCUUUCGAUACGGGUUGACUUGAGGAAGGUAGGGGAGAAUGGAAUUCCUGGUGGAGCGGUGGAAUGCGCAGACAUCAGGAGGAACACCAGUGGCGAAGGCGGUUCUCUGGGCCUUUCCUGACGCUGAGGAGCGAAAGCGUGGGGAGCGAACAGGCUUAGAUACCCUGGUAGUCCACGCUGUAAACGGUGGGUACUAGGUGUGGGGUCCAUUCCACGGGUUCCGUGCCGUAGCUAACGCUUUAAGUACCCCGCCUGGGGAGUACGGCCGCAAGGCUAAAACUCAAAGGAAUUGACGGGGCCCCGCACAAGCGGCGGAGCAUGCGGAUUAAUUCGAUGCAACGCGUAGAACCUUACCUGGGUUUGACAUGGAUCGGGAGCGCUCAGAGAUGGGUGUGCCUCUUUUGGGGUCGGUUCACAGGUGGUGCAUGGCUGUCGUCAGCUCGUGUCGUGAGAUGUUGGGUUAAGUCCCGCAACGAGCGCAACCCUUGUUCACUGUUGCCAGCACGUUAUGGUGGGGACUCAGUGGAGACCGCCGGGGUCAACUCGGAGGAAGGUGGGGAUGACGUCAAGUCAUCAUGCCCCUUAUGUCCAGGGCUUCACGCAUGCUACAAUGGCUGGUACAGAGAGUGGCGAGCCUGUGAGGGUGAGCGAAUCUCGGAAAGCCGGUCUCAGUUCGGAUUGGGGUCUGCAACUCGACCUCAUGAAGUCGGAGUCGCUAGUAAUCGCAGAUCAGCAACGCUGCGGUGAAUACGUUCCCGGG